AUUGAACGCUGGCGGCAGGCCUAACACAUGCAAGUCGAACGGUAACAGGAAGAAGCUUGCUUCUUUGCUGACGCGUGGCGGACGGGGGUGUGAUGUACGGGGAACUGCCUGAUGGAGGGGGGGAACUACUGGAAACGGUAGCUAUAACAGCAUAACGUCCCAACGCCAAAAAGCGGGGCCUUUUGGCCCCUUGCCCUCGGAUGUGACCCGAUGUGGGAUUAGCUAGUAGGUGGGGUAACGGCUCACCUAGGCGACGAUCCGUAGCUGGUCUGAGAGGAUGACCAGCCACACUGGAACUGAGACACGGUCCAGACUCCUACGGGAGGCAGCAGUGGGGAAUAUUGCACAAUGGGCGCAAGCCUGAUGCAGCCAUGCCGCGUGUAUGAAGAAGGCCUUCGGGUUGUAAAGUACUUUCAGCGGGGAGGAAGGGAGUAAAGUUAAUACCUUGGCUCAUUGACGUUACCCGCAGAAGAAGCACCGGCUAACUCCGUG
rnacentral:rRNA from 1 species